GAAUAAGUAUUUACAGGAAAAUGUGAUGUUGUAAUUAGUAUUUAUGGUAUAUUUUGAGCAGGUCCAGCACGGCCACCAAACAAACCCAGCCAGAUGACAUCUUCAUUUUCAGAAUCAAACAUCGACCCCCAAGAGUACUAUGAUGACAUCAGCGCACUCCCACCACCUCCUCCCACACCUCCUAGGCCGAGAGACUCAUGGACUGACAGUUUCCCUUCUCAGCAUGAGGACAGCGACCAAGAAAUCUAUGAAGACCCAGACAAGUAAGUCAUAUCAGUGUUCUUUUACAAUGCAGAGUUCCCUUCCCAGUCCAUUUUUGA
rnacentral:lncRNA from 1 species